rnacentral:lncRNA from 1 species
GGGAAAAAUUAAUAUGCAACGGACUUUCUCGCAGAUUAUCGAAUCGACGAGGAAAAAGAUAUUGGAAAGUUGUAAUUUCCAAUCAAGCCGCGCUGCAAAUAGAGUUUUUAUCGAUAACUCAUGUCAAAUCCAAUCUUUGAUUACGUAAGGUUAUCGUUAAUUAUUCUUGUACUUACGGAAUCUGCAGUUCAUCCUGUGAUUUUUUCCUUUUGAUGGGCGUAGUCCAUUAUUGGGUACGUCCAUACUGUUGUGCUAAGCAAAGAUCACAUAUGGGACCGCGAAUGGGACUUUAAGCGGAUUAAAGAGGUUCCGAUUUAGUUGGGCAGCGUACUGGCUUACUUAUUUUUAGAGCAAACGGGGGGAGGAGGCAGUAGCUUUGGCUUUCCCUGACUUGAGGAAAUAGAUUUAACUCCAAAGCGCGGUAUAAACGUCAGGCCCAUUGCUAUUUUGCCUUCAAUUUUCGAAAAAGGCCAGAAAAAUGAUCAUGACAAAAAUAACCCUGUUGGAGGUAAGUUGAUUCAUUUCUUUUUCAUCUUGGGCUCUUUUCUUUUUUGAAAUUUAGAGCUCAGCAAUUGGUCAUUACGCUACAUGGGAAAGCGCAGUGAUAGGACUGCCAAAAGCGCAAGAAUUGAAAGCUGUCAGAUCUAGAUUAUUUUCCAAAAAGAUGCCAGUGCAUAAACCUCGGUUGGAAUCCAGGUUUCCAAUCCACAAAAAAUGCCUUGGUUGGAGGUAAAUGGUGCUUACCAAUGAAAGGAGCCGACAAAUCUAUAGUGGUGCGCUCCCAACGCUACCUUCACGAACUAUACCAAGAAAUACCCGCCCAAGCAGACGUCCACGUCGCGAUACGCGAUUUUUGUGUCCAUGUCUAUCCUGGUUUUCUUCGCACUCAUAUUUUUGCUCCUGGCGAAAUUUUCCAUCGGCAGGAGUCUUUUACUUAAGUAUCCUGAGAUAUUCUCGAGGGGUUGCUUCAGUCAUGAAGGACCAACUGAAGAAGCCCAGAAGAACAGCGUGGUCUCAUUUACUUUUUUCGGCAGGGGUUGGUCACAUAAACGGGACCUGCCGCCACCCUUCCGGACAAGACUGUCACCACAAGGUUGGUCCUCAGAAGUCCUGGUUACGGAUUCACGGCCACAUCAAUUAUUUUAUGCGCAAUAACUAUCUUGGAGGAGUCAAAAAACAUGCCCUUAAGGUAAGAUGUUAUAGAUGUAAGAUGUAUAAGAGAUUGUCUUGAAUAUUGCCCCUAUUCCCGGGCUACGUGCAGUUUGUGUUUCAC